rnacentral:rRNA from 1 species
AUUGAACGCUGGCGGCAGGCCUAACACAUGCAAGUCGAACGGUAACAGGAAGAAGCUUGCUUCUUUGCUGACGAGUGGCGGACGGGUGAGUAAUGUCUGGGAAACUGCCUGAUGGAGAGGGAUAACUACUGGAAACGGUAGCUAAUACCGCAUAACGUCGCAAGACCAAAGAGGGGGACCUUCGGGCCUCUUGCCAUUGGAUGUGCCCAGAUGGGAUUAGCUAGUAGGUGGGGUAACGGCUCACCUAGGCGACGAUCCCUAGCUGGUCUGAGAGGAUGACCAGCCACACUGGAACUGAGACACGGUCCAGACUCCUACGGGAGGCAGCAGUGGGGAAUAUUGCACAAUGGGCGCAAGCCUGAUGCAGCCAUGCCGCGUGUAUGAAGAAGGCCUUCGGGUUGUAAAGUACUUUCAGCGGGGAGGAAGGGAGUAAAGUUAAUACCUUUGCUCAUUGACGUUACCCGCAGAAGAAGCACCGGCUAACUCCGUG